AUUCAACUGAUGUUUGUUGAGAUCCCUCGAUGUUCUGGGUACUCUUACACAUGCUUGGGAUAAAGGAGGGAACAAAAUGGACAAGAUUCUUGCCCUAAGGAAGCUUACAUUCAGGUUGGGGGAGAAAGACAAACAAAAUGUGUACUGUGUCAGAAAGUCAUAGGUACUACAGAGAAAACAGGGAAGGAAACGGAAGUGUGGGGGUUGAGGUUUUAUCUUAAGGGUAAUGUGAGUGGCCCCCAAGAGUUGUGCAAUAGGAUAAUGCUGCCAUGGACAGCCAGGGAAAUGCAUUAAGUGGGACUAUGACUGGAUGGAGAUUGUGUUUUAGCUGCUGAGUGGAGAAUGGAUCAGAGACAGGCUGAGUAGGAGGCAACUAUUCAGGUGAAAGAUAAAGUGAGCUGAAAUUAGGAUCAUGCCAAUGGGGCAUGGGGACAAGGGGACUGAUAUGGUGACAUUUAGGAGGUAAAUAUUUCUUGUCUGGCUUGGCUAACCAGGAAAUAAACAUUCCUACUCAUUUAAGGGCCUAUAUGUUUCCAUUGAAAGUCUGAAAAAAACUACACCAAAACUGACUUAUUUUGUGAAUAAAAAUAUUUGUGUACAUAAAUAUUUAUUUUCAUAAUUGCUGUUGGGGUUCCAAAUAUCAAAAAAUAUACCAGGAAUAAAAGUUGGCUUCACUGGCCCCAUGUAGAUAUAUAAAUAAACAUGAAGUUUCCAGGGCAAGGUCAUGAUUUAUGGAUGGAUACUUCUAAAUCUGGUCUAGAUGUUUUUAUUACUUGCCUAGGGGAAGAGGCUGAGAAAAACUGAACGUUAGUGCUUGAGCUGUAGCAUCAUCAUUUAUUCUUGCUCUAUUUUAGGCUUAUUUACAGGCCCAGGUGGGGAAUUUCUGCCUGAUGCUGGUAGCAUGUUGGCAUUGGUGAUGGCACCUCAGGCCAAGUCUGGGGAGCAGUUGGGAGGUCAGAGCAUCUGAAAACAUCACUGCCUCUGAGUUUUCUAAGGUGAAAAAAUAAACAGUGGAGCCAGGGUAGGUAGGCAAAGCAGAAAUGAGCCCUUUAGCACUCACAGCAAUUCCAACUUUUCUUUUUGUCCUGUCUCAAAUACUUCUUGAGUGGUCAGAGGCACACUGCCUUUGGUCUGCAGUGAAUUCUCAUCUUACCUCAAAUUUCAUGUAUUUGCACUUGGACUCCAUUAUGUGCAAGCAGGAAGAAUAAAGAAUACCAAUCUCAGCAGGGCGCAGUGGCUCACGCCUGUAAUCCCAGCAUUCUAGGAGGCAGAGGUGGGCGAAUCACCUCAGGUCAGGAAUUUGAGACCAGUCUGGCCAACAUGGUGAAACCUCGUCUCUACUAAAAAUACAAAACUUAGCUGGCAUCUGUAAUCCCAGCUACUUGGGAGGCUGAGGAACUAGAACUGCUUGAACCAUGGAGGUGGGAAGGAGCUUGGUCUAUUAGAGAAAGAGACAGGU
rnacentral:lncRNA from 1 species